rnacentral:rRNA from 1 species
CACGAAGUUAGCCGGGGCUUCUUCUCCGGAUACCGUCAUUAUCUUCUCCGGUGAAAGAGCUUUACAACCCUAAGGCCUUCAUCACUCACGCGGCAUGGCUGGAUCAGGCUUGCGCCCAUUGUCCAAUAUUCCCCACUGCUGCCUCCCGUAGGAGUUUGGGCCGUGUCUCAGUCCUAAUGUGGCUGAUCAUCCUCUCAGACCAGCUAUGGAUCGUCGCCUUGGUAGGCCUUUACCCCACCAACUAGCUAAUCCAACGCGGGCUCAUCAUACCCCGAUAAAUCUUUCCCCGUAGGCGUAUGCGGUAUUAAUUCCAGUUUCCCGGAGCUAUUCCGCAGGGCACGGUAGAUUCCCACGCGUUACUCACCCGUCUGCCACUCCCCUUGCGGGCGUUCGACUUGUAUGUGUUAAGCCUGCCGCCAGCGUCGUCUGUAGCCAGGAGUCAACUAC